UUUUUUUUUUUUUCUCUCUCUCAAAGAGAGGGUUUGAGAAAAACCUAGGCUGUUGCCUAGGCUGAAGUGCAGUGGUGUGAUCUCAGCUCACCGCAACCUCCGCCUCCCAGGUUCAAGCAAUUCUCCUGCCUCAGCCUCCCGAGUAGCUAGGAUUACAGGUGCCUGCCACGAUGCCCGGCUAGGUUUUGCAUUUUUAGUAGAGACAGGGUUUCACCAAGUUGGCCAGGCUGGUCUUGAACUGCUGGCCUCAACUGAUCCACCUCCGCCUCCCAAAGUGCUGGGAUUACAGGCUGAGCCACUGCGCCCAGCCUUUCCUCUGAUUUCUAUGGUACCUAUCACCAUGGUAUGCAGGUACUCACAUCAAAUCUGUUUUUAAGUUCAAAACAGAGCCAUAUGUGGGAAGACACAUUCCUCUUCUGAAGCUUUAUCUCCGAAGCUGAGCUUGGAGUGAAGUGACAGGCGGAACUGACUCCUUGGAGGAUGGAAUCUUGAGAUUUUAUGUGGGAGCAGAAGAGAAGCAAGCACCAAAUAUCUAUCAAAUGUCCACAGAGGGAAACACUGUAGUAGCUGCCUAGAGAUUCAGUCCUGCCCAAGUUUCCCUGCUCAGAUUUCAGGUGCAAUUUUGAGAAAUGUUCUUCCCCAGUGGAGUGACCUAGUCAAUGACCUCACCCUUUAUGGGAAGGCGUGCCCAUACGCACAAUAACACAGUACUCAUAAAGUCCACGAGAGGCCGGUCCAGGCCUUGGCCAGGGAAGCAUCCAUGGACUUGGGCGUUCGUCGCAGAAUCUUCAGACGAAUCUGGAUGAGGAGUGAGGCCCUGCCUUGGAGGUGCUGCCCUCCCUCUGUGGCAUGGAAGCCCUGCUGCCUGUGACAGGAGGCGACUGCACCUCACCCGCGGCCUGUAUGCUGCAGGACCCAGUGAAGAGCUUCCUUAGCUUACCGCUGCGCAGGCACUAGGAAAGGGAGCACGUGCCAGGGAGAUUUGCCUUCUUGGUCUGGUAGCAAAUGUAGGCCCACCUGGUACAGGUAGGAGGUUCCGCAGGCCUUCCAGAUCUUCUUGGCAGGUUUAUGGGCGAGAGAAAGCGGUUCCCAGCCCCCUGUCCUGAUGCGGCUGCACCUUCUGGAGCACCGUGAACACUCUGCCUCCUGCCAGGCCCCCAAAAUACUCUUCUGUCUCUACAGUUGUGCCACCUUUCCCCAGCACCAGGGAGCAGCUCGGCAGGACCAGGCUCUGGGGGCCAGCACACGCGCUCUUCACAAGCCUAAGAGGGCUGUCGUGAGGGGAAAAAAAUGGCAUUAUAUGACGUCAUUCCAGCUUUAAUACUCAUUCUGGAAAGAAGAGAGGAUAUAAAGAAAUAGACAUAGAUUAUGUACACACAUACAUGAAGGGUAAGUACUUGGAAAUGUUAAAGAGUUCGUUUUAAAAGUCCUUAGGCAGCACCCCCUUCUCAAGUUAACUCCCACUUGGUCCAAGGUGGAGCUCCGGGCUCCGAGGAGGCGCGGUCAGGGUGGGAGGCCUGGGCUGCGCGGACCGCGAGCGAGCCUCCUCGGUCUCCCUCCCUAGCGGAGAAGAUCCUCCAGGCUAAGGUCCAAGGCCCAACUCCCUUGGGGCUGUCGCCGCCCACCUCCUCCCCGCCACCCUGGGCUUUGGCUUUGUCCUCGACCACGCUCCGGGAGUGCGCCGAGCGGUCGCGGUCCUGCUAGCCGGGGCCGCGUUCCCACCGCGAA
ensembl:lncRNA